GUUGCUUCACAUCUGGAAGAAUGGCCUGAUGAUAACAGUUUGGUCAUCCUGUAGAGGGAAGCAUAGAUGAGCGGAAACACCGGCCAGCAUUAAACAGCACGGCACUUAUAUCAAACCGUGUCGUGUUACCUGUCUUCUGGUACAACU